rnacentral:lncRNA from 1 species
UAUUUAUGUAAUCGUUUAAAAUAUUAAUAACGCUUAGAGAUCAUGCCUAUAGCAAAUAACUGAAUCAGUUUCGUCUGUGAAUCUAAAAUCAAUAAUAAAUCUAUAGAUCUUUGUUUAUAAAACCAGUAUCCUUUUUCUUAAAAUCAGUACACUCUAUUAAAUAUCAUGCAUAUAGGUCUCAUUUAGUCAAACUAUUAGGUAAUUAACCAACUACGUUAGUUCUUGACAAAAUUACAUCUAGACAAGGCUAAUUCAGACUCCUCGUAUGAGAAAUAUGUGAUAAAUCAACCCAUCCUAUGAUUUAAUUUAAUUCAGACCAAACUAGCAUUUGAAGUCAUGCUAUAUUUGGUCUUUAAGUGAGGAUGCUUGUAUGAGCCUUAACUGCUAUAUGUUUUCCCUUAACUGCUAUGUGUUUUUGCUUGUCGCCUUGACUUUUAUCCUCUUUAAAACUCUAAAAAGCCCUAACUCCCUCCCAUUUAGGAUUAGUAGUCACACUGCCUCCAGGACUGAUAGGAUUGGGACGGGUAAUAGCAUGCAAUAAGCAUCGGUACUAUUCCACGCUUUAAUACCAUAAUGGGGUGGGAAGGGUAGAUAUGGAGGUGAUGAUCGGUGCACUAAUACCUCAUAUAGCCCCCAUCCUGAGGAGUGAUUACUGUGUAUUGCAUUGACGUGAUCCAUAUUAAUCAUAAACCUAGGACCCCCUCACUUUUACUUGCUUUCCUCUAUUUGUUUAGCAGUGUUUAAAUCUUUUCAUGAAAUUUCUGCCCUCUUUGCUUUUCCUGAAAGUUUCAACUUACUUGCAAUACUAUAUGCAAAUCCCUUAUAUUUGAGCCCUUAAUUUCUUGCUGAUUAUGUGAAGUUACAAUUAUAGCAUGGCCGGGAACCACACUACUAGAUCUUGAGGGUGCC